AACUUUGUAAACUCCGCAGAACAAAAUUAAUUUGAGUGAGCAAACUCACCAAUGGCACAAGAACAGAAGGGCUUCAACUUCUAGGAACAAAAAAAAUUGCCGGUGGGACAAAAAUUGACAUUAAUGGCUACAAUACGAAUUAAAGAAAUCAAAACCUAUAAUUACAAGCUAAGAAAGAGAAGAAACUCAUAAUCACAAGCUUACCUGAAACGAUGAGAGAGAGAAUAAGAUGAAGAAGAAGAUCGCUGCCGUUUUACGCCAUUCUCCGGCUACCAGUAAGGUUUAGGAUGGCCAGGCACGCACGGGAGAGAAUUUGGGACUUUGGUUUUCAAAAUAUUGACUUCAGCAAAUAGUUUUCUAUUUAGAAACAAAUUUAUAACUCUACCGUCAAAAUAAUAGAAUGCCAAUUGGCUCUCUACCGUCACGUGGUCAGUAACAUAAGUGAGAGCAGUCUAGCCGUCACAUAAACGGUCACAAAAGCAACUGGCUGUUACAAGUUUAGGAAUGGCAGAUAUUGCCGCGGGGACAUGACCCUCGAGAUUUUCCCAAUUCAGGAGGGUACAUAAUUUUUUACUUAAUUUUUUAUUUGGAAAGGGGACGGAGAUAGGGAUGGAGAUAGUUUUUUUACCCAAUUAAAUUUCUUAUUCAGAGAAAGAAUGGGGAUGCGGCGGAAUCCCUAUCCCUUUCUAAUUUUUUGAUUUAAUUUUAAUUUUUUUAAAAUUAUUUGUAAAUAAAUAAUAAAAUAUUAGUAUAAAUAAAAAAAAUUAAAAUAAUUAUAUUAUUAAAAUUUAGGCCUAACUGACUACAUUAAUAUUUGGAUGAGAAAGUUAUGCCACGGAUGAAAGAUUUUAAUAAUUUGAGUUGGUGUAAAAUAAAUGUCUAUAGAUAUCCUAUAUUGGCACCUAGAGAUAUUUUGGCAAUUCUAAUUACAAAUGUUGCUUCUGAAUUAGCUUUUAGCACCAGUGGUAGAGUACCGUAACACGCUUUAUUCAAGCACAUUGGAGGCUUUAAUAUGUUGUCAAAGUUGACCACAAGCUUACAAUGGCAGUAUGAGUUUAUUUUAAUUAGAAUUUACAUUACUUAUAUCAUUUUUAUUGUUUUAAAUUUGAAAUCUGAGGCUAUCUCUCAAUUUGUCACAUUCCUAUGAAUAUUUUUUAUAAGAAAUCAACAAUAUUGUUGAAAGAAAAACCAAAUAAAAAUAAUAAAGCAAUGCAUAGAUUAAGGCUCUUUAUUAUCUAAUAACUAAUCAAACUAAGUUGUGGGUAAAGGCGAAUAUGUUUGUUUGGCCAAUAAUAAACUCAAGGAAUCACCAAUAAUCACCUAGUUACUAUUCCUUAUGCCAUGCAAUGUAAUGGCGUCGGUAAUGGCGACAAGGCAGGCAAUAACUAGCUAGCUAGUUAUGAUAGUUGCUUAACUUAACCUACUGGAAAUCUGAAGACCAAAAUGAAGAAACUUUGCCUAGAACUAGAAUAGGAAAACAUUCAUACCCAAAACCAAUAUACAUGAUUAAGAAACUUGAUUAUAUGUAUAUUUUUGUUUGCCACACCAAAUCCCACUAUUUCCAUACUCAUAAGCACAAAAAACCAUCGCAAAAAUGAAUGACCAUAUAAAAUAAAAUAGGUCGUAGGACAUUGAGAAUAGGACAACAUGAUUUAUGUACCGUAAAAUAACUAUAUCUGCAGUCAACUAUAUUUCUGUUAGAACUCUAAAGUUUUCCAUUAAAUUUUUUUCCCUGUUAGGUAAACCACUUAACUGAAACACUUAAGCAAGAUUGACAAUCAUAGACAUACAAGUAUUAAUAGGCUCGUUCAAGUGAAAUGAGCAUUAUUUCACAUAUCCUUUAGGCUUUUAAGUCAUUUAGAAGUCAUUCAUGUUAAACAAUUUCUUCAUAUACUUUCAAUAUAAUUAGUACAUACACAAUUAAUUAAUUAAAUAAAUCUGUUUCAGCUAGCACAGGAACUUAAGCAAUCAGAGCUAUUAGUUAUAGCUAGGACUUGAAUGAGGCACCUUUCAAAGUUCAAGAGGAGCAUCUGAACAGAAUGAAAGCAUUUUGUAGAAAUGGUAGUGAUGCUUUACAUCUACAUGCUCUUACACAAUAUGAACUUUCAUUUAUUCAAGAACAUAACACUAAUCCAAGCUCUUACUCUACAAGUCAAUUCAGUUUGUAGAUGCAAGCCAUUGUAAAAACUUUUGUGUUAUAAUUUCCGAAAAUGGAACAUGACAUUACUAAUAUAGAAUCAGCAAUGUUAUAUAACUUAUCAGACAAUAUAACAAGCACUUGGCGAGCAUAUAAGAUAAACUAAAACAAGUUAAUUAGAAAAUGAAACUAAAACCCAAGCUCCGCUAUUCAUUGUAGAAGCUUUAAACAUAAAAUUAAAGUAAAUCUAAUAGCAAAACAUUAGAAUGGAUGUUGGAAUUAAAGCUAAAUUCAAUAGUAAUCCAAAUGAAUCCAUUUGAACUUUGUAAACUCCGCAGAACAAAAUUAAUUUGAGUGAGCAAACUCACCAAUGGCACAAGAACAGAAGGGCUUCAACUUCUAGGAACAAAAAAAAUUGCCGGUGGGACAAAAAUUGACAUUAAUGGCUACAAUACGAAUUAAAGAAAUCAAAACCUAUAAUUACAAGCUAAGAAAGAGAAGAAACUCAUAAUCACAAGCUUACCUGAAACGAUGAGAGAGAGAAUAAGAUGAAGAAGAAGAUCGCUGCCGUUUUACGCCAUUCUCCGGCUACCAGUAAGGUUUAGGAUGGCCAGGCACGCACGGGAGAGAAUUUGGGACUUUGGUUUUCAAAAUAUUGACUUCAGC
rnacentral:lncRNA from 1 species